GUGGGGAAUAUUGGGCAAUGGGCGAAAGCCUGACCCAGCAACGCCGCGUGAAGGAAGAAGGUCUUCGGAUCGUAAACUUCUAUCCUUGGUGAAGAUAAUGACGGUAGCCGAGAAGGAAGCACCGGCUAACUACGUGCCAGCAGCCGCGGUAAUACGUAGGGGGCAAGCGUUGUCCGGAAUGAUUGGGCGUAAAGGGCGCGGAGGCGGCCUGGUAAGUCUGGAGUGAAAGUCAUGCUUUUAAGGUGGGAAUGGCUUUGGAUACUGUCGGGCUUGCGUGCAGGAAAGGUAAGUGGAAUUCCCGGUGUAGCGGUGAAAUGCGUAGAGAUCGGAAGGAACACCAGUGGAGAAGGCGACUUACUGGACUGUAACUGACGCUGAGUCGCGAAAGUGUGGGGAGCAAACAGGAUUAGAAACCCUUGUAGUCC
rnacentral:rRNA from 1 species